AUGGGCGAGCCUGAUGCAGCGACGCCGCGUGAGGGAUGACGGCCUUCGGGUUGUAAACCUCUUUCAGCAGGGAAGAAGCGAAAGUGACGGUACCUGCAGAAGAAGCGCCGGCUAACUACAUGCCAGCAGCCGCGGUAAUACGUAGGGCGCAAGCGUUGUCCGGAAUUAUUGGGCGUAAAGAGCUCGUACGCGGCUUGUCACGUCGAUUGUGAAAGCCCGAGGCUUAACCUCGGGUCUGCAGUCUAUACGGGCUAGCUGGAGUUCGGUAGGGGAGAUCGGAAUUCCUGGUGUAGCGGUGAAAUGCGCAGAUUUCAGGAGGAACACCGGUGGCGAAGGCGGAUCUCUGGGCCGAUACUGACGCUGAGGAGCGAAAGCGUGGGGAGCGAACAGGAUUAGAUACCCUGGUAGUCCACGCCGUACACGGUGGGCACUAGGUGUGGGCAACAUUCCACGUUGUCCGUGCCGCAGCUAACGCAUUAAGUGCCCCGCCUGGGGAGUACGGCCGCAAGGCUAAAACUCAAAGGAAUUGACGGGGGCCCGCACAAGCGGCGGAGCAUGUGGCUUAAUUCGACGCAGCGCGUAGAACCUUACCAAGGCUUGACAUACACCGGACAGCAUCAAAGAUGGUGCCCCCCUUGUGGUCGGUGUACAGGUGGUGCAUGGCUGUCAUCAGCUCGUGUCGUGAGAUGUUGGGUUAAGUCCCGCAACGAGCGCAACCCUUGUCCCGUGUUGCCAGCAAGCCCUUCUGGGUGUUGGGGACUCACGGGAGACCGCCGGGUCAACUCGGAUGAUGGUGGGGACGACGUCGAGUCAUCAUGCCCCUUAUGUCUUGCGCUGCACACGUGCUACAAUGGCCGGUACAAUGAGCUGCGAUACCGUGAGGUGGAGCGAAUCUCAAAAGCCAGUCUCAGUUCGGAUUGGGGUCUGCAACUGCGGACCCCAUGAAGUCGGA
rnacentral:rRNA from 1 species